CAUUUGCCUUAUAAUUGAAGGCUAGUAUGAAUGGUUUGACAAGAAUGUAGCUGUCUCUUUAUAAUUAAAUAGAAUUUUAUUUAUAGGUGAAGAAGCCUAUAUUAAAUUAAAAGACAAGAAGACCCUAUCGAGCUUGAAAAAAACUAGUAGAGUAAGUAGUUAAUGAUAUCAGAAAAUUUACUAUUAGAAAUUUUAGUUGGGGCGACUAAGGAACAAAAAAAGCUUCCUUUAAAAAUUAAAAACUAAACAAGUAUUGAUCCAAAACAUUUGAUUAAAGGAAUUAGUUACCGUAGGGAUAACAGCAUUAUCUUUUUUAAGAGCUCUUAUCGAAAAAAAGGUUUGUGACCUCGAUGUUGGACCAGAAUAUCCUAAAGAUGCAGCAGUCUUUAAGGGUUGGUCUGUUCGACCAUUAAAAUUCU
rnacentral:rRNA from 2 species